ACGAACGAUCAUCCUUGAUCUUCCUACCCUCAAACCACUGUGGAUGUGAGAUGUGCUUCGGCGUCAUGAGGCGCCGCCUUUAUGCUCAAAGCCCUUCAACGUCUGUCAACGAAAAUGUCA
rnacentral:misc_RNA from 1 species